ensembl:lncRNA
AUGUUAACGACUACUAAAUGCAUGUCCUGGUGCCACCAUAAAAAAUGAUAAAUGCUUUUAUCCAAAGCAACUUGCAAUAACCUUUGACUUAAUCACAGUUCAUUUACUCGAGCGGAGCUUCACCAUGACACCCACAUCAGGUCGUGUGAUUCACAUGCAGGUUCGAUGGUUGAGAAAUUGUACAAUAACAAACAUAACUGUUCAAAAGCACAGAGUUCAUUUGUUCAUGGGAACAGGUUUGUAGAAAUGUAGCACUGCAUCAGUGUCUCAGCAAUGGAUGCUCUUUCACUGGAGGAAGUGUUAUUAUGGAUUAUGUAUUUGAGUUAAAAACGUCUUAAUGCUGGAUGUGUUUCAUCUUUUGUCUUCUCCAGAUGUUAACUGAUGGACUGGAGUGCUGUGGAUUACUUGUGGAUUAUUGUGAUGUUUUUAUCAGCUGUUUGGACUCUCAUUCUGACGGCACCCAUUCACUGCAGAGCAUCCAUUGCUGAGACACUGAUGCAGUGCUACAUUUCUUCAAACCUGAUGAAGAAACAAACUCAACCUGAUCUUGAAUGGCCUGAGGGUACAUUUUCAACACAUUUUAAUUGGGGCUCGUCACCAUGGCAACCACAAGCAAUGGCGAGGCUAAUAAAGGAAGCGUCUCUCUCUCUCUCUCUCUCUCUCUCUCUCUCUCUCUCUCUCCGUCUGUCUGUCUGUCUCUCGCUCGCUCUCAGCCUUGACUUCUUCUCUGUUCCUUUCACAUCAAACCAGCAGCAGCUCAUGAAGGAUUUUGGGAUGCAUGUUGUCUUUAAUCUUGAAACGAGGGAAUUCUGGGACCUCAGAGGGAAUCUGGCCAUGACACACGGAUGGUUUGCGGAUGUUUCGUGGAUCUGAGCUCGCUGUGGAUUAUCAGUUCUAGUGUGUGUGUGUGUGUGUGUGUGUGUGUGUGUGUGUGUGUGUGUGUGUGUGUGUGUGUGUGUGUGUGNUGUGAAUGAUGACACACGUCACAGACGAGGAGACACGCUUCUGUCCGUCAUGUGCUCGUGGUUUUGACGUUCCUCUCAUUCUGCCCUGCUCUCACACUCUCUGCGGCCGCUGUCUGACCGGAGGGGCGGGGCCUGAUCUGUGCAGGGGCGGGGUCAGGGGCGGGGUCUCCUCCUCUCAUCCGGUCGUUCUCUGUCCAAACUGUCGUCAUGGCGUUGAGCUGCCCUGCUUUGACUGGUCAUCUGCUCUGACCUGUCUGCCCUUUGACCCUACAGUGACCUUUGACCCUGUAAAGAGAGGGACGCAUGAGGAACAGAGAUGGGAGACGGAUGGCAGUGUGGAUCUUUCUGAAGAGGAAAUGGAACAAUCCGUUUCAGGUCUUAUCUUCACCCUCGAUUCGUCCUGCUCUGAUUCGUCGCUUUACCUCUCAAGCUCCGCCCUCUCCGUCACCUUCACAGGUCACAUGAUCUCAUCACAUGACCGCAGGGAUCAGGACUGUCCACUUCCUCAGGUGUGUGGCAGCGUGAGCGUCUCCAGAGGACAGUAUUACUGGGAGGUGGACGUCUGCAACAGCGCCAUCUACAGGAUCGGAGUGAUAUCAUCAUGUGAUGGGCGUGGCUGGUGGUUGGAGAGGCGUGGCUCUGCGUUUCACACUUUGUUUGACGGACAGCAUGAGCUCCUCCCCUCUGUUCCUCCUCAGCUGAAGACAGUGGGCGUGUUUCUAAAUGUGGGCGGAGCUUCGAUAACCUUCCACAAUCCGGUAACUCAAGAGUUUCUUGCUGCAAUCCCCGCCCACUUUAGUACCCCCCUCCAUCCUGCUCUUCAGUUGGGCCAGGGAAGACUCAAACUCCGCCCCGGCCUGCCGCCACCCAAUCACGUCUUCCUCAGCCACAGCUCUGCCUAUCGGGGUCCAGGAGGGGCGGGAAGCGGGCGCUGGAGGCGGGAUGUCACGUUUGGGUCGGUGAGUGCCGUGAUUCAGAAGUUUGAGGAGAUUUCAGCCGCGAUUUCGGACGGGGAUUCGGGUCUCGUCUCCAGCAUCAGCUUACUGUCUGAGACCAAUAACAGUACAGAAUGGCUCCGUUCCAAAACCUAGUGUGCUUUCUACACAGGCAGCUCCCUUGUUAGACAGUAACAUCAUGCUGCCCUCUGAGAUCUACGGAGUCCCUAAAGGAAAAAAAAAAUAUUUUUCAAAUGUUUUGCAUUCUCUCGCAAAGAUAUUCAUUCUCUCGCAAAACUUUGCGUUCUCUCGCAUAGAUAUUCAUCCUCUCGCAAAACUUUUGCGCUCUCUCGCAAAGAUAUUCAUUCUCUCGCAAAACUUUGCAAUCUCUCGCAAAGAUAUUCAUCCUCUCGCAAAACUUUUGCAUUCUCUUGCAAAGAUAUUCAUCCUCUCGCAAAACUUUUGCAUUCUCUUGCAAAGAUAAUCAUUCUCUCACAAAACUUUUGCGUUCUCUCUCAAAGAUAAUCAUUCUCUCGUAAAACUUUUACAUUCUCUCGUAAAACUUUUGCAUUCACUUGCAAAGAUAUUCAUUCUCUUGCAAAACUUUUGCGUUCUCUUGCAAAGAUAAUCAUUCUCUCGUAAAACUUUUACAUUCUCUCGUAAAACUUUUGCAUUCACUUGCAAAGAUAUUCAUUCUCUUGCAAAACUUUUGCGUUCUCUUGCAAAGAUAAUCAUUCUCUCGUAAAACUUUUACAUUCUCUCGUAAAACUUUUGCAUUCACUUGCAAAGAUAUUCAUUCUCUUGCAAAACUUUUGCGUUCUCUUGCAAAGAUAAUCAUUCUCUCACAAAACUUUUGCGUUCUCUCGCAAAACCAGCUGAGUUCGGACAAACACUUCCUGUUUACUUUACAGCUUGUAGUGGUUUAUACAGCUCCAUAAGUUCACAAUGGAGCGGUUCAUAGAGUUUUGUUUUGAACUUGGAGAAAUAGUCAGUGCAUGCUUAUUACGGCACGGUUUUGGGACAUACUAAAACGCUUAAUGUAAAACACUGUGUGAGAGCCGUGGGAACGGAGCGAGGCCGGUGGAGCACCACAAAAAUAUUCAUUCUCUCACAAAACUUUUGAGUUCUCUGCAAAGAUAUUCAUUCUCUCGCAAAACUUUUGAGACCUCACACAAAAAUAUUCAUUCUCUCACAAAACUUUUGAGUUCUCUGCAAAGAUAUUCAUUCUCUCGCAAAACUUUUGAGUCCUCACACAAAAAUAUUCAUUCUCUCACAAAACUUUUGAGUUCUCUGCAAAGAUAUUCAUUCUCUCACAAAACUUUUGAGACCUCACACAAAAAUAUUCAUUCUCUCACAAAUUUUUUGAGUUCUCUGCAAAGAUAUUCAUUCUUUUGCAAAACUUUUGAGUCCUCACACAAAAAUAUUCAUUCUCUCACAAAACUUUUGAGUUCUCUGCAAAGAUAUUCAUUCUCUCACAAAACUUUUGAGACCUCACACAAAAAUAUUCAUUCUCUCACAAAUUUUUUGAGUUCUCUGCAAAGAUAUUCAUUCUUUUGCAAAACUUUUGAGUCCUCACACAAAAAUAUUCAUUCUCUUGCAAAACUUUUGAGUUCUCUGCAAAGAUAUUCAUUCUCUCACAAAACUUUUGAGUUCUCUCGUAAAACUUUUGAGCUCUCUUAAAAAGAUAUUAAUUUUCUCGCAAAACCAGUUGAGUUCGGACAAAAACUUCCUGUUUAUUAAUGCGGCUUAAUGAAGAUGAUAAAAAGGAACAAAUAUGCUAUAUUAUGUAUUAAAAAUAUGUACUGUGUACAUGAAAGCAAAUGAGCCCAAAAUAUGAGCUGAAUUGCAUGAUAAGCAUUUUCUCAUGCCCCACCCCCCCCCCAAAAAAGUGUGCCUAACUUAAUAUAUAUACUAAAAAAAAAACAGUUAUAAAAAUUCCAAAUAAUUAUAUUUAUUAAAAUAUACUCUGCACAAAAAAAGCAAUGUGCUAAGAUUUUUCUUUAAUAAUGUUUUAUCUACAGGGGAGAAAACAUGUGUAACUGUACAUUCCAUUCUUGGCUCAUCUGCUUGUCUGUGCGUAAUAUAAACUGUAAACUGUAUUUUAAAAUCACCAUUUUCGUUCAUUAGCCAACCUUAAGUGUUUUCUAUGAGGGAGAAAGUGCUUAAUGUGCAGAAGUUGUGUUCAUAUUCUGGGCUAUUCUGCUUAAUUAAUAGUAAUAUUAUUAAUACAGUUAUUAAUAUUAGGCUAAUAAUGUUAUCAGUAUUUAUUAUUAUCAAAUUUGGUCCUCCAAUGUCACUCUUUUAAAACUUUAAGCCAUAUUAAGCGCUUUAGAAUGUCCCAAAACUGUGCCUUGAGAUCUGUUUUUUUUUUUAUUUUAUUUUUUACAAAAUAUAAAGCAUCAUCACAUGAAUGCUUCUUGAAAAACUUUGCAAAAAGCAAACAGCGCCACCUGUAGGGCAGAAAAUUUAGCUCAUUAGCUCAAGCUCAUUUAUUGUCUUCUUGUGAUUAAUUUAUUUUGUAUUUUAUGUAUUUAUAUUCAGUGGGACUAUAUUUUCUGUAUUAUAUUCAGUUGUUGCAAGAGAUUGUGUUUCCAAAAAGACGCUUGUCAUCCUUUUGAAUAAUGACUAAGAAUUGAACACACACCUGAUUGAAAUACUGUACAAUAACCAAAGAUGCCACUCAACUCAUUUACAGGAAAUACAUAAAAUAAUUUGGACAUAUUAAUCACUGUCAUACUGCCCAUUAAAAAAUUAUUUAUUUAUUUAUUUAUUUUCAAAAAAGUUUUAGAAAUAUUCCUGAAAUGCUGUAAAUAACAUGUAAAUAAUAAAACCUAUUUAUUAUUACA